rnacentral:rRNA from 1 species
CGGACGGGUGAGUAAUGUCUGGGAAACUGCCCGAUGGAGGGGGAUAACUACUGGAAACGGUAGCUAAUACCGCAUAACGUCGCAAGACCAAAGAGGGGGACCUUCGGGCCUCUUGCCAUCGGAUGUGCCCAGAUGGGAUUAGCUAGUAGGUGGGGUAACGGAUCACCUAGGCGACGAUCCCUAGCUGGUCUGAGAGGAUGACCAGCCACACUGGAACUGAGACACGGUCCAG